CGUUACGUUGGUGACGUCACCACGAGCGCGAGAAGUCGAAGGUAGGAGCAGAAAGCGGUGUUAGUGUUAGUUCUGGCCCGUUUGGACCCAAACUAAAGUGUAUCAGUAUGAAGCAGGCGGAGACGGCGCACUGAUUCACUCUCGGAGCUCGGUUCACUAAUGACCGAAUCACCGAGGAACCGACCAAAGAUAACUCACACCCGCACGGAGAAGAAGAACAAGAGGAGGAGAAGAUGAGCUGGAGUGGGGCAAAGAGAACUGCAUUCAGAUCAAACGGAUACAAGAGAGGUGGCCGAGUUGUUUGAGGAUCUAAAGAAUUGAGUGUCACAAUUCAACAUGCACAUCAGCGAAACUUUUCCCUCUGACUACACCAGCACGCACGCACAGAAAUUCAUAGUGCAGGUGGCGAUUGCAGGCGCAUUUUAUCCGAACUGCUUCCUCCAGGGAACUGUGGACGAGGAGCUCGCCUCCAAGGAACUCUAUGGAAACGACCCCAGGACCACCAUAGUGGUGUGUAAUCUCCCUCCAUUUGCAUUCCUCUACUAUAAACAGCUCCAGUCUCUCUUCAGACACUGUGGUUAAAUCAAAUCCAUCUCCUUUGACAGCUCCAGGGCCUAUGUAGAGUUCUACCGCUCGUCAAUGAGAGGUUCUGGCGUUCUCCCAGAGGUCUCUCUGUCUCUCCUUCUCACGCAGCAGAGACUUCCUCUCCAUCUCAACGUUUAACCCGCUGGAGAGGUGGAGACUUGGGCAGGGGGGUAGUGUAUCUCACACCUCAGAUAUACACGGGUGAAUGUGGAUUUUCAGAAUCAGUCAGUGAGCCCUGUCAGGGUUCUGAGCAGCUCCAUUGAGUUGGAGAACCUUCCGUCUAACCCUGUCUUUAUCGUCAAUAUCACCGAGGUGUCUGUUCCGCCUCUUUCACUUUCAGUGCACAAAUAAAAAAGAAGCAGUGGCUCCUGUGUGUGUGUGUGUGUGUGUGUGUGUGUGUGUGUGUGUGUGUGUGUGUGUGUGUGUGUUUGUGUGUGUGCACACUAACAGGAGGUCCAGGUGCAGCCUUUGGAUAUUGAUGAAGAUUUACUGCCCCUGCAAGACCUUCCUCAACUGCGUAGUCUGGAGCAAAGGAUGCAACAGAGCCCAGAUUACAAGCAAAAUCUGGUAAACUGGUUGGCGCUUAUUGACGGGGUGUAUGUGCGUGACUGCACCUGGCGCAUAUUGAAGAGGGUGAUUGCCUUCCUUGGCAAAGAACCUCAAUUGGAGGGGAGUCAAUGGAAAGACUUCACUGUCCGCUCUCCAACUCGGAGAGGUCAUGAUUGCUGCAGUUCAUAGAAACCUCUUCACGGCUAAAGCUGCAGAGAUGGAGGUCGAGGGGUCCAUGAAGAGGCGGCUCCAGCUGGCAUCAGAUCGAGAGUGUGGGCGCAAGAGCAGACUUUUGAUAAAGGAGGAUAUUUACAGUGUUUUAACUGCUGUGUUUUUUGCGCUAUUUAUUAAUUUGUUAAAAUGUUCAUAUUAUAGUCUAUUUUUAAUUGUUUAUAAAAGUCCUUGCUGUUUUUAAGUGGCUGAAUUAGUGUGUGUGCACGCGUGUGUGCGUGUGUGUUGGUAGCUGGGUGGGUAUAUAGUUCUGGUCGGAAGUUGACAUACCCCUUGCAGGAGAAAGAGACCCUGUGUAAUCUGUUUAAACGACUUUUACGCAUGUUUUGCAGAGAGAUCAUUUUCACCUUGCUGUUUGGGUCUCUGUCCCACACUGUUACAGUGCAGAAUUGAGAGCACGAGGGAGAUCGAUUUUCUAUCAGAAACAGUAACUAUAUAAAAUGGACGUCAACACGCAGCACUCUGUGAGGUCAUUUCUCGCUCUCAACAGAGUAGUUGUGAUUGUUCAGUGUUUACGACAGGGCCAAAACAUUCAAGGCCAUGGUGUAUUUUGACUGUUCCUGUAGCAUAAUCUCACCAAACUGUGUGUACACGAGUCCACAGACACUGAGUCUAUUCACAGUUCCAUGCUGUGUAGAUGUUCUGCUCAUCCUCACUGUACCGUAAAGGUCAGAACCUCACAUCUGUAACCUUGUAGCUUUCCUUAAUCAACACGACUGCGACCAAGCUUGUGUAUCACUACUAUUUUUAGAUCUCCGCCUCUCAAAAGUAUUGGCGCCCUGCGCGGCCGCCUCUCAAAUCUUUUGCCGCCCUACGCGGCCGGCUCUCAAAUCUGUUGGCGCCCUAUGCGUCCGGCUGUCAAAUCUAUUGGCGCCCUAUGCGUCCGGCUCUCAAAACUAUUGGCGCCCUUCACGGGCAGUUCUCAAAAGUAUUGGCACCCGAUCUGAAUUUUGCCACGGCAAGCACUACUCACAUUUUCUUCAGGAAAUGUACCUUAAAAUAAUAAAAAGUCUCUCACUAGGCUGUGUGUCGAGAUAAACGUGAAAACAUCUUGAGCUUGUGUUCACCACAGACCUUAUUUCCGGCAUUUAACCCAAAACCCCAUUGACGGAAGUGCUAAUACGCUGACUCGUUUCUGGGUUUCACGACUCAUUCCUGCAGCACUCUGUAAGACGGGCUGUUGUUAUCAAACCAUCGAAGUAAGAUAAGCGGCUUUGGUAAUGAUUCUUUAAAUGAACCGAUUCAGAAUCCUCUUCUUGAAUCGUUUGAGUCGUUCUCACUCGGUCAGGGUUGCACGUGUGGGUUGCUUUUCCUGCACGUGUAAUCAGCACGUGUUCACAGACCGUAAAUCCCGACCCCAUGGUAGACACUCGACAGAAAUUUCAUACUAAAGUAUUUUAUAUUUUCUGGGUCUAAACAGAGCAGAAGUAUUGCUAACGUGUUGUACAGAUUCUAUUGGACUGGUGAACUGUGUGGAUUUGUAUAUUUAACCCAGUUUAAUAUGGCCUGCUUUGUUCAGUCAGAGACAAGUAAAUCUGUUCUAAUGUUCAUUUAUUUUCCAUAGAUAAAACAAAUGUUUGCUUACACAUGAAUACGUACUUUAUGCCUUCAGAAUGGUGGAGAUUUGUCUCUUAACUAUUUUAAAUUUGGUUCUCUUCAACAGGUUGUGUUCGAGUUGUGCAGGCUUGUGUCACCUGACUUAAAGAAGGCAUUGUUUGAAGGGCUUGAUCAGCACCUCCCACGGCUCCUGCAGUUGUACAACACCGAGAGGCAGUGAAAUACCCGAAAUCCAACAUGUGAUGACCCGCAUUGAUCAAGAGUUUAUUUUGGAUACAGGCAGAGGAAGCUCAGCGAAAGCUUAAGAGACAGAAUGGAGAGGACCCAGCCCUGCCUCCAUUCUGCCCACUGUUUGCCAGCUUGGGAAACAUUCUGCAGUGUGACGUGCUGCUUGGCAUGCUGGGAGCUGUGCUGCAGUGGGCUAUGGAGCCCAGUGGAGGACACUGGUCUGAGUCCAUGCUGCAGUGCUGCACUUGAUAGGCAUGGCUCUGCUGGAGGAGCAGCAACAGCUAGAGAACAUUGGGGAUGACGAUGAAGUUACUUUCAACUUCACC